rnacentral:rRNA from 1 species
GUGAAGAAAGGGCCGGGCAAGACCGGUGCCAGCCGCCGCGGUAAUACCGGCGGCUCGAGUGGUGGCCACUAUUACUGGGCUUAAAGCGUUCGUAGCUGGUCUGUUAAGUCUCUGGGGAAAUCUACUGGCUUAACCAAUAGGCGUCUCAGGGAUACUGGCAGACUAGGGACCGGGAGAGGUGAGAGGUACUCCAGGGGUAGGAGUGAAAUCCUGUAAUCCUUGGGGGACCACCUGUGGCGAAGGCGUCUCACCAGAACGGCUCCGACAGUGAGGGACGAAAGCUGGGGGAGCAAACCGGAUUAGAUACCCGGGUAGUCCCAGCCGUAAACGAUGCGCGUUAGGUGUAUCGGUGACCACGAGUCACCGAGGUGCCGAAGAGAAAUCGUGAAACGUGCCGCCUGGGAAGUACGGUCGCAAGGCUGAAACUUAAAGGAAUUGGCGGGGGAGCACCACAACAGGUGGAGCCUGCGGUUUAAUCGGACUCAACGCCGGAAAUCUCACCGGAUAAGACAGCUGGAUGAUAGUCGGGCUGAAGACUCUACUUGACUAGCUGAGAGGAGGUGCAUGGCCGUCGUCAGUUC